rnacentral:tRNA from 1 species
GGAGAAGUACUCAAGUGGCUGAAGAGACUCCCCUGCUAAGGGAGUAGGCUGGCUAAAACCGGCGCGGGGGUUCAAAUCCCCCCUUCUCCG